GACUUCUCCAGGCGGAGACCUGAAGCGUCCUCGUCCUCAGAGCAGGACAGAGGACAGCAGCAGGACUCUCUGUAUGCACAUGUCAAAGUUUCCAGAACAGCAAAGA